AAUGCUCUUCAAGUGUCAAAGUUCAAUAUAAAUGACAUCAUAAUGAAUACUGAUAGUCCACACCCGGAGCUGGGCACUCUUCUAAGAGCCUUUGAUGUAACAAUCAACUUAAUCUUCCCAGACACCUACAGGGAAGGUCUGCGAUCAUCCCCACUCUAAACAUGAGGGAACUGAGGCAGGAGGAGGUUCAACAGCAUCUCAAGGUCACACCAGCAGAUACAGAACCGUCCUCUUCCGUGAUCCAAACCCACGCCCCAAAACCACCACUGACCAGCAAACACCACUCUUUAGAAGACCACCCCCGUUGUCGCGAUCGGAACACUCGUGUAACCCUUUCCACUAGUCUGAGAGGGUGGAAAGCUGACCGGCACUUUUGCGCAUGCAAAAACGAGUGGCCCCCAGCCCCCAGCGACAUUUCCUGGAAUUCACCAUCGGCUGAAGGUGAACUUCCGAAGCUUUGGGUUCGUGAGCCUUCCUUGCUGCUGAAAGGGGAAACCUUCCAGAACGGAGAAGAUGAGUGUUGACAUUGAUGGGACAAAAUCGUAUCGUGAGGAUAAGGAACAGCCACAGCUUUCCAUGCUUGUGAGGGUUAAUUUUAGGAGUGGGCAAAAGGAUUCCAGCUUAUGGGAAUUUACAACAAACAAUGGUGUGUAGCUGGGUGGCAAAUGGAAAACUGGGAUGCAGGCCAGCCAUCGGCACUUUUCUGUCCAUGUGAGGAUCUCGUGAGACCUUUCUCCCGGACCAUGAUCAGACCCUACACUGCAGCCAGUCGACUGAGUAAUUAAAUAACACAAGUUAUAAAACUUUAAAAAGGGGGCAUUUACAGUCAGGGACAUAAAUACGUGCUUUUAAAAGUGUCUACGUACAUAUUU